rnacentral:rRNA from 1 species
UAUGUAGGGUGCAAGCGUUGUCCGGAAUUAUUGGGCGUAAAGAGCUUGUAGGCGGUUUGUCGCGUCUGCUGUGAAAUUUCGGGGCUCAACCCCGAACUUGCAGUGGGUACGGGCAGACUAGAGUGUGGUAGGGGAGACUGGAAUUCCUGGUGUAGCGGUGAAAUGCGCAGAUAUCAGGAGGAACACCGAUGGCGAAGGCAGGUCUCUGGGCCAUAACUGACGCUGAGAAGCGAAAGCAUGGGGAGCAAACAGG